ACAACCAACCCAUGUGUUCAUUUUCUCUUAAUUUAUUUAUUUAUUUAUUUUGACUCUCUAUUUGAUGUUGAACACUCACAACUGUAUCUCAACGAUCUUGUCGUUCCUACCAUUUUUGUUGGGUAGCUAGCUAUAGCUUCAAUCGACCAAUUUUUCACUAUCAUUUUCAGUUUGUUGGAAAUAAAGCAGGAAGACAGCUUGGAUCAACCAAUUACCAGGGUGCUGAAAAGAAAAGAGACAGAAGAAUAUCAGGAAAAUCUCCGUAGAUGAUGAUAAUGAAAAAAUUCCGAUUUCAAAGAGGCCAAAGAUCAAGAGAUGAUUCAAAGGAAACAUGUUUGUCAGCUAUUGUUGAGUAUCGCUCAUAAGUCAUAAGAGAUGACUUAUGAGCGAUAUCAUAUGUUUUGAAUAGCAUACAACUUCGUUCUUGAGUCUCUAAUUUGUAAUUUCAGUGCUUCAUUAGCACAUAUUUUUUAAAACCAUCUCAUGGCAUUCUUCAUUUUCAA